rnacentral:rRNA from 1 species
GUGGGGAAUAUUGGACAAUGGGCGCAAGCCUGAUCCAGCCAUGCCGCGUGAGUGAUGAAGGCCUUAGGGUUGUAAAGCUCUUUUGUCCGGGAAGAUAAUGACUGUACCGGAAGAAUAAGCCCCGGCUAACUUCGUGCCAGCAGCCGCGGUAAUACGAAGGGGGCUAGCGUUGUUCGGAAUCACUGGGCGUAAAGCGCACGUAGGCGGACCAUUAAGUCAGGGGUGAAAGCCUGGAGCUCAACUCCAGAACUGCCUUUGAUACUGAUGGUCUCGAGUUCGGAAGAGGUUGGUGGAACUGCGAGUGUAGAGGUGAAAUUCGUAGAUAUUCGCAAGAACACCAGUGGCGAAGGCGGCCAGCUGGUCCGAUACUGACGCUGAGGUGCGAAAGCGUGGGGAGCAAACAGGAUUAGAUACCCCAGUAGUCC